rnacentral:ncRNA from 1 species
CAAGUCCCUUGCAGUGAAGGCGUAGCGAACCACACUGGCCCCGAGUCAUGCGCAGUGCACCGCGAGGUGCCCGGCGAAGCGUUGACAGGGGUACGUGCGGGCCAGCCAUUGAGCCGCGAAAGAAUUUCUUCCCAGGGUGCCGACGCCGUCCGAUUUGUGGAAGGCUACAUGGUCGCGCGCGCUAUCGCGAGCGCACGACCGACCCGGCGUGGUCGUAGAACC